AAAAAACCCUACUUUUCAAGAGAAAUUCAUCUUCUCCUUGAUUGAAGGGCUAAGGGAGAUCACUGUUGCUGUUUGGAACAGCAAUACCAUUACUUAUGAUGAUUUUAUCGGCAAUCGAAAGGUUCAGCUGCAGAAAGUUCUUUCUCAGGGAUUUGAUGAUAGUUCUUGGCCACUUCAAACUAAAACCGGCAGGUUGCAGCUGGAAUAAUUUUUAAUUUCUGGACUCUUGUUCUCCGUCUAAUAUAGAGUUGGAAGUGCAGAAACAUCUUCCGCCGCUUGUUUUGUUUUUUGCCCUUUUUAAGGGGAAGGAAUAUGUAUUUGUUGCAAAUUCAAAUAACUUGGAUGCAGCUAUUGAUUUAAGUAUCCUUGAUUAGUCUGAUGGCCUGACAUCUGUUUCCCAAUAUAUAAUGCUUAAUCACUUGAUUAGUCUGAUGAUCCUUGUUCUUGGGGAAGAGACACCACUAGCAUAAAUAAGGCUCAGUAUUACGAUAAAGUCUGAGCCUCUUGGGGCUUGAGACCUUAAAGAGUCAAAACUCAGGAAAAAUGAAUGGAUGAGGCACCCAGAGGGCCAGGCAGUUUUUCAAAGGGUUGUUUCCCCUUUCUGUUUUGCCAAUGAUUUCCAAUUUUUGUUGUCUAUACAGAAAGAAAAUAGAAAAUCACAGCCCUUUCUAAGCAGACAGAUAGAUACAAUAGUAUUAUUUCUUGAACUGUGCAUUUGGAAAUGGAAUUUGAA